rnacentral:rRNA from 1 species
AGUCAUAUGCUUGUCUCAAAGAUUAAGCCAUGCAUGUCUCAGUACAAGCCAAAUUAAGGUGAAACCGCGAAAGGCUCAUUAAAUCAGUUAUGGUUCCUUAGAUCGUACCCACAUUUACUUGGAUAACUGUGGUAAUUCUAGAGCUAAUACAUGCAAACAGAGCUCCGACCGGAGACGGAAGGAGCGCUUUUAUUAGAUCAAAACCAAUCGGUGUCGGGUUCGCUCGUCAUCGUACAUUUUGGUGACUCUGAAUAACUUUUUGCUGAUCGCACGGUCUAGCACCGGCGACGCAUCUUUCAAAUGUCUGCCUUAUCAACUGUCGAUGGUAGGUUCUGCGCCUACCAUGGUUGUAACGGGUAACGGGGAAUCAGGGUUCGAUUCCGGAGAGGGAGCCUGAGAAACGGCUACCACAUCCAAGGAAGGCAGCAGGCGCGCAAAUUACCCACUCCCGGCACGGGGAGGUAGUGACGAAAAAUAACGGUACGGGACUCAUCCGAGGCCCCGUAAUCGGAAUGAGUACACUCUAAACCCUUUAACGAGGAUCAAUUGGAGGGCAAGUCUGGUGCCAGCAGCCGCGGUAAUUCCAGCUCCAAUAGCGUAU